rnacentral:rRNA from 1 species
UACGAAGGGUGCAGGCGUUACUCGGAAUUACUGGGCGUAAAGCGUGCGUAGGUGGUUUGUUAAGUCUGUUGUGAAAGCCCCGGGCUCAACCUGGGAAUGGCAAUGGAUACUGGCAGGCUAGAGUGCGGUAGAGGGUAGUGGAAUUCCCGGUGUAGCGGUGAAAUGCGUAGAGAUCGGGAGGAACACCAGUGGCGAAAGCGGCGCACUGGACCACAACUGACGCUGAGGCGCGAAAGCUAGGGGAGCAAACAGG